GACGAACGCUGGCGGCGUGCUUAACACAUGCCAGUCGAACGGAAAGGCCCUGCUUUUGUGGGGUGCUCGAGUGGCGAACGGGUGAGUAACACGUGAGUAACCUGCCCUUGACUUUGGGAUAACUUCAGGAAACUGGGGCUAAUACCGGAUAGGAGCUCCUGCUGCAUGGUGGGGGUUGGAAAGUUUCGGCGGUUGGGGAUGGACUCGCGGCUUAUCAGCUUGUUGGUGGGGUAGUGGCUUACCAAGGCUUUGACGGGUAGCCGGCCUGAGAGGGUGACCGGCCACCUUGGGACUGAGAUACGGCCCAGACUCCUACGGGAGGCAGGAGGGGGGAAUAUUGCACAAUGGGCGGAAGCCUGAUGCAGCAACGCCGCGUGCGGGAUGACGGCCUUCGGGUUGUAAACCGCUUUCGCCUGGGACGAAGCGUGAGUGACGGUAAUGGGUAAAGAAGCACCGGCUAACUACGUG
rnacentral:rRNA from 1 species